rnacentral:rRNA from 1 species
CCUACGGGAGGCAGCAGUGGGGAAUAUUGGACAAUGGGGGGAACCCUGAUCCAGCCAUGCCGCGUGUGUGAAGAAGGCCCUCGGGUUGUAAAGCACUUUCAGUGAGGAAGAACGCCUGGUGGUUAAUACCCAUCAGGAAAGACAUCACUCACAGAAGAAGCACCGGCUAACUCCGUGCCAGCAGCCGCGGUAAUACGGAGGGUGCGAGCGUUAAUCGGAAUUACUGGGCGUAAAGCGCGCGUAGGUGGCUUGAUAAGCCGGUUGGGAAAGCCCCGGGCUCAACCUGGGAACGGCAUCCGGAACUGUCAAGCUAGGGUGCAGGAGAGGAAGGUAGAAUUCCCGGUGUAGCGGUGAAAUGCGUAGGGAUCGGGAGGAAAACCAGGGGCGAAGGCGGCCUUCUGGACUGACACUGACACUGAGGUGCGAAAGCGUGGGUAGCAAACAGGAUUAGAUACCCCUGUAGUC